GAGGAGACCACAACAUUGUUAGCAGAAUUGUGUGUGGCUGAGUUCAAGAAAGGAAGAGCUAUUGGUGUCCCAACUUUAUUAUCUUCUAAACAAGAAGAGAUGCUGAAGUUUGUGUUGUCCAUACCGCGAGUAACUGUCCCACAAGCACUCAACAUUGUCCACAAGUUUCCUACUUUAGCUGAGUUUGUGCGCAGCCCACCAGAUGUGAUUAAAGCCAGAGGGCAGAUGAGAUCUUGCUCUGCUCUAGCCAUCCACCAGUUUCUGCACCACAAGUUUGAUCUACAGAUGAUGCCCAACUCUAAAAGAUAACAGUUGAACACCUUCAGAUUUUUUACCUUUCAAUUUCAAUUGUUCAGGUAGGGGUUUGAACCAAAGUUUGCUGUAUGAUGAUCCAAUGUUAGAUUGAAUCUGCUGCUAGGUCACAUGACUGUUAGAACCAACAAAAAUGUAGUGGUUUGAACAAAUAUUAACCCUUAAAGUUCUCGCCAUGUGGCCUUACGUAAAAGUUAGGUAACAGCAAGCCACGAUCAUGGCUUGGCAUGCUUUCAGGGUUAAACUACUGUAAGAUUGGAUACUGUGAGAUUAUAUCUUGUACUGAACUACAUGAAGUAGAAAUGUCAAUGUAAUUGUUUAUAUAUUUAUUGACCUGUCUGUAAUUUUUAAUCGGUAUGAUGAGAAAAAAUUGUAAACUCAUCUGGCGGUACUAUUAUUGUUUGUUUUCAAAAACAAAGUCAAUUAAGAAUGUUGUCCAUUAUGUGAUAUGUUAGUUUGUUGCUCAAA